rnacentral:rRNA from 1 species
GACGAACGCUGGCGGCGUGCUUAACACAUGCAAGUCGAACGGAAAGGCCCUGCUUUUGUGGGGUGCUCGAGUGGCGAACGGGUGAGUAACACGUGAGUAACCUGCCCUUGACUUUGGGAUAACUUCAGGAAACUGGGGCUAAUACCGGAUAGGAUCUCCUGCUGCAUGGUGGGGGUUGGAUAGUUUCGGCGGUUGGGGAUGGACUCGCGGCUUAUCAGCUUGUUGGUGGGGUAGUGGCUUACCAAGGCUUUGACGGGUAGCCGGCCUGAGAGGGUGACCGGCCACAUUGGGACUGAGAUACGGCCCAGACUACUACGGGAGGCAGCAGUGGGGAAUAUUGCACAAUGGGCGGAAGCCUGAUGCAGCAACGCCGCGUGCGGGAUGACGGCCUUCGGGUUGUAAACCGCUUUCGCCUGUGACGAAGCGUGAGUGACGGUAAUGGGUAAAGAAGCACCGGCUAACUACGUG